AGAGUUUGAUCCUGGCUCAGGAUGAACGCUAGCUACAGGCUUAACACAUGCAAGUCGAGGGGCAGCGGGUUGAAAGCUUGCUUUCAAUGCCGGCGACCGGCGCACGGGUGCGUAACGCGUAUCAAACCUGCCUCAUACUCGGGGAUAGCCUUGCGAAAGUAAGAUUAAUACCCGAUGUUGUUGCUUUCUCGCAUGGGAGGGUAACCAAAGAUUUAUCGGUAUGAGAUGGUGAUGCGUCCGAUUAGGUAGUAGGCGGGGUAACGGCCCACCUAGCCUUCGAUCGGUAGGGGUUCUGAGAGGAAGGUCCCCCACACUGGAACUGAGACACGGUCCAGACUCCUACGGGAGGCAGCAGUGAGGAAUAUUGGUCAAUGGGCGAGAGCCUGAACCAGCCAAGUAGCGUGCAGGAUGACGGCCCUAUGGGUUGUAAACUGCUUUUGUAUGGGGAUAAAGUCAAUCACGUGUGAUUGUUUGCAGGUACCAUACGAAUAAGGACCGGCUAAUUCCGUGCCAGCAGCCGCGGUAAUACGGAAGGUCCAGGCGUUAUCCGGAUUUAUUGGGUUUAAAGGGAGCGUAGGCGGAUUGUUAAGUCAGCGGUUAAAGGGUGUGGCUCAACCAUGCAUUGCCGUUGAAACUGGCGAUCUUGAGUGCAGACAGGGAUGCCGGAAUUCGUGGUGUAGCGGUGAAAUGCUUAGAUAUCACGAAGAACUCCGAUCGCGAAGGCAGGUGUCCGGGCUGCAACUGACGCUGAGGCUCGAAAGUGUGGGUAUCAAACAGGAUUAGAUACCCUGGUAGUCCACACAGUAAACGAUGUAUACUCGCGGUUUGCGAUAGAUUGUAAGCCGCCAAGCGAAAGCAUUAAGUAUACCACCUGGGGAGUACGCCGGCAACGGUGAAACUCAAAGGAAUUGACGGGGGCCCG
rnacentral:rRNA from 1 species